UGAGUAAGCUUAGGACUCUGCCUAUUAGUGGGGGACACAUUUCGAAAGGGAUGCUAAUACCGCAUACGUCCUACGGGAGAAAGCAGGGGCUCUUUAUGACCUUGCGCUAAUAGAUGAGCCUAAGUCGGAUUAGCUAGUUGGUGGGGUAAAGGCCUACCAAGGCGACGAUCUGUAGCGGGUCUGAGAGGAUGAUCCGCCACACUGGGACUGAGACACGGCCCAGACUCCUACGGGAGGCAGCAGUGGGGAAUAUUGGACAAUGGGGGGAACCCUGAUCCAGCCAUGCCGCGUGUGUGAAGAAGGCCUUUUGGUUGUAAAGCACUUUAAGUGAGGGAGGAGGCUUACCUGGUUAAUACCUAGGAUAAGUGGACGUUACUCACAGAAUAAGCACCGCAANUUG
rnacentral:rRNA from 1 species